GACCCCUCCCCGAAGCCCAACCACCCGAACCCUAACUCAGAUCCUCUCCCACUCCAGCCGCCGCUGCCGCCCAGAUCCAAUCCCUCCCGCCCCAGAUCCAAUCCCUCCAGCGGAGCUCGCCGCCCUCCUUCUCUCGCCCUCUCCAUCAACCGCACUAGAGCCACUAUGACACACACCAGAGCAGCUGAGAUCCGCGUCCCAGCACCUGCGCGGAAGAUGGUCAUCCUCUCACCGCCUACACAACACCCACCUGUCUCCUCUCGUCUCGCCCGCCGCACGCACGCCUCGAACCUUCCCCAAGCCAGGUGGUGGGGGUUCCGCGAACCGCGGAGGGGAAGGGGCGAUGGGCAAGUACUGCAUCGCUGCGGCGGCGGCGGUGGAGGGGGAGCAGCCGGUCAUGGUGUCCGUGCCGCCGCCACUGACCAGGAACCUGUACGGAGACUACGUCCGCUGCUCCAUCAAGCAGGUCUUCGACAACCUCCACAACAACAUCUCCCUCGAUCCGGUCAGGCUCAUGUUUCCCCUCCUGCCCGCCGAUGUAUUUCUCGCAAACAGAAAUGAAGCGUCAAUGAUAUGAACCGCAACAACAACUGACAAAGCGCAAUGGAUUAUGGCUUGGGGCUAAAACCAAGCCAUCUUGUCUUGCCAUCUUGUCAAUUACUGGUUUCCCCUCCUGCCGCCGAUUACUGGUUUUAGCCCCAAGCCAUCUUGUCUUGUCGUUUUUGGUGUGUUGGUGGCUUGGGGCUAAAACCACUGUUUACGGUCGUUGAUGAUGGUCAUAUUAGCUAUGAGAUGUGAGGGAAAUACUGUAACCUCAAAUGUGUGUCAUCAUGUUACUGUUGUGACCCUUCAUGUUAUUUCUAUGCUGAGAUUGUGAGAUUCUUAUAGGACCAUAAAGUUCAUUCUCUUUCAGUCUAUCACACGUGUUUUGUACCAGUAUCAUGAUUAUGCACCAAACAUAUUACCGUUAGUGGUUCAUUCUAUUUGAUAUCAUCAACUUUAUUAUUACCUGCCAUAAGGAUGAUCUGUAUGCACCAAACAUGAUCUUGAAAGGAUUUUUAUUCUAAGCACUUUUGUCAUAGUCAAUAAGCUACUUCCUGAAUCAAAUUUGUUAAUGAAAUGUUUUUGUAGCACUGCGAAUAUUUAAUUAGUUGGCAAGCGUGAUGUCCAUUCGCUGGAUUCUGUCGCCUGAUUCCAGACGCCUCCUCUGUUUUUUGCAGGUCCGGCAGCACCGCCUCGUCGACGAUGAAGGUGGUGACCGCGGGAGCGAGUGGCACUAGUUGGUGGCUGUGGGACUUGACGACACGGCUCUCAUCAGCGGCGACAGAGUUGGUUGUUAGGAGCGCAUGAUAGACUACUAAAUGGACAAGUAUCUGCAACGUUCAGUGCGAAAGAUGGUGCUUACCAGAUGUUCUACUAUAGACCAUCCAUAUCAUCAACAUGAACUUAGAUUUUGGCCUUCAUUCAUCAAAAGUUGGUGUACAAGGAACUCCAGGAGAAGAAUCUUUAAGUAAAUAAUUUAUAUAGAUCAGGAUCUUAUGUUGUCGAGGUGGCUGCUGUUGUGACCAAAGAUCAGCCUGGAGAUGUGCAUCAUAGUUUUAGUUGAUGUUGCCACCAUGUUUUGGUGCCUGUGUAUUUGAUUGUAUGUAAACUUGAUGGACCGUGUAAUCAUGUAUGUGUUGUUUGAGUUUCAUUUAGUGAUUUCUGGAUUUGAUCAUUUAAUUGA